rnacentral:rRNA from 1 species
UACGUAGGGUGCAAGCGUUGUCCGGAAUUAUUGGGCGUAAAGAGCUCGUAGGCGGUUCGUCGCGUCGGCUGUGAAAUCCCGAGGCUCAACCUCGGGUCUGCAGUCGAUACGGGCGGACUGGAGUUCGGCAGGGGAGACUGGAAUUCCUGGUGUAGCGGUGAAAUGCGCAGAUAUCAGGAGGAACACCGGUGGCGAAGGCGAGUCUCUGGGCCGAUACUGACGCUGAGGAGCGAAAGCGUGGGGAGCGAACAGG